rnacentral:rRNA from 1 species
GACGAACGCUGGCGGCGUGCCUAAUACAUGCAAGUCGAGCGAGCUUGCCUAGAUUAUUUUAGUGCUUGCACUCAAUGAAACUAGAUACAAGCGAGCGGCGGACGGGUAAGUAACACGUGGGUAACCUGCCCAAGAGACUGGGACAACACCUGGAAACAGAUGCUAAUACCGGAUAACAACACUAUACGCAUGUCUAGAGUUUGAUAGAUGGUUCUGCUAUCACUCUUGGAUGGACCUGCGGUGCAUUAGCUAGUUGGUAAGGUAACGGCUUACCAAGGCAAUGAUGCAUAGCCGAGUUGAGAGACUGGUCGGCCACAUUAGGACUGAGACACGGCCCGAACUACUACGGGAGGCAGCAGUAGGGAAUCUUCCACAAUGGACGAAAGUCUGAUGGAGCAACGCCGCGUGAGUGAAGAAGGGUUUCGGCUCGUAGAGCUCUGUUGGUAGUGAAGAAAGAUAGAGGUAGUAACUGGCCUUUAUUUGACGGUAAUUACUUAGAAAGUCACGGCUAACUACGUG